GUGUUUUUGAACUGAUGUCCUUGGUGAUCUCUGGGAUGAAAUCCAUAAUGGACACAAAUGAGGACUUUGCAUUUCUUAAAAGCAUGAUCAUGGAAAGAAGAUUACACCUACUGGUGAAGAUUCAUGCGGUGUUGAGGCGGUUUGGGAGAAAGAAUCCUGUCCCGGUCAGGGAUAAUGCAGAGAGUUUGGCCUGUAACGUGAGUCUUUCUCUGGGCAUCUUUCAUUUCCAAUUGAUGGUUGUCCAAAUGGUCAUGGGUGGAUGGGCGGGUAGGCAGAUGGGCUGAUGAAUGUGUAAAUGGAUGGACGGAUGAUGUGCGAAAGAGGGGGGAGAGGAAAGACACAGUGGCCCAACACACACAUCGGUAUGUCAAUAUGACCUGAUUUGAGGCCUAGUUUUGAUUUUACAGGGAUAUUCAUUUACAGUUCUCUUCUUAGAGUGAAAUCACAGGGGACAGUUUUCAACAUGAAACUGCUAAAAUCAUUACCGUCAGUGCUUCUACUGUGUACUUCACCUUCUGCCCUUCCCCGUCCUUUUCAAUUCUUCCCUUUGCGAAGGUACUGAAACAGCCACUUCAGAUUGGGUCUUAAUCUUCCACGCCUUGGGGCCAAACAAAAUAGCCGUCGCUUCUGUUUGCUCACAGGGGAAAGUGCUGACCUUAAUGAUGCACACUUGUGCAUUGUUUUUCGUGUGUGUUUCCUCUGGAGGCGGGAUGCACCCUGGCUUGCCUACAUCUACAAGGAAACACUGCAACUGUCUUGAAGCCAAAUGUAACAACAUCAUCGCUGUAGACACCCGACCACCAAACACUGAUCCUCAUUGGUCUGUCGGAGGGUGCACACUGUCUGGCAGCAUGCGUGUGUGUUUUGCAUGCGUGUGUGUGUGGGUGUUUUGCAUGUGCAUGUGUGUUUUAAUGUACUACUGACUACUUCAACGAGAGUGAAACAAGGAGGGUUCAACCUGAUCGGGACAUCUUGCCGGUCCCCGUGAGAAACAUUUGGGGUUAAGGGUUUUGGGUUGGCUUUGCACUCUUAGGAAACGAGAUUUGAAACGGGAGUAAAAAGGUUUGGUCUGAACAAGGAUGGUAUCUCAAAUGUGUGUGUGUGUGUGUGUCAGGACUUAACCCCUGUCUGUCUGUCUGUAUUAGAUGUCCGAGGAGCUGUGCAGUGAGCUGGCCAGUGCUGACUUUUCAGAGUUGAUCUGCCUGCUCUCCAAGCCACAUGUGAAGGUAUAUCUCCUGUUCAAUAUCUCGAUCCUACUGCCUUCAGAAACACACCAAAACACA
rnacentral:lncRNA from 1 species